UACGUAGGGGGCAAGCGGUUGUCCGGAAUCAUUGGGCGUAAAGCGCGUGUAGGCGGCCAGAAAAGUCCGCUGUGAAAACUCGAGGCUCAACUUCGAGCUGUCGGUGGAAACUUUCUGGCUAGAGUCCGGAAGAGGAGAAUGGAAUUCCUGGUGUAGCGGUGAAAUGCGCAGAUAUCAGGAAGAACACCCGUGGCGAAGGCGGUCUCUGGGACGGUACUGACGCUGGAGACGCGAAAGCGUGGGGAGCGAACAGG
rnacentral:rRNA from 1 species